UGAGGAAUAUUGGUCAAUGGGCGCAAGCCUGAACCAGCCAUCCCGCGUGCAGGAAGACGGCCCUAUGGGUUGUAAACUGCUUUUCCAGGGGGAGAAACUUGCGCACGUGUUGCGCAAUUGACGGUACCCUGGGAAUAAGCAUCGGCUAACUCCGUGCCAGCAGCCGCGGUAAUACGGAGGAUGCGAGCGUUAUCCGGAUUCAUUGGGUUUAAAGGGUGCGUAGGCGGACUAUUAAGUCAGUGGUGAAAUCCUGCAGCUUAACUGCAGAACUGCCAUUGAUACUGAUAGCCUUGAGUUUGGUUAAGGUAGGCGGAAUGUGUAAUGUAGCGGUGAAAUGCUUAGAUAUUACACAGAACACCAAUUGCGGAGGCAGCUUACUGAGCCGACACUGACGCUGUGGCACGAAAACGUGGGGAUCGAACAG
rnacentral:rRNA from 1 species